rnacentral:rRNA from 1 species
GCUGUCGAACCCUACCUUAUCCACUUCUUCCCCCUUGCUCUCCUCCCCGAUCUGGAGAGGCACCCGUACGCAGCCGUUGACGCCGCCUCGUUGUUGACAUGCUCCGGCACCACCCCGUCCCGCUCGAAGGCGCCCAGGAGCUGCGCCUCGACGUCCUCUACCUCCACAACAACACUCUCGAGCAAGGACGUACUUUACAGUCGCUAUCGAGCACAUCUCCGCGUACAUCGUCGCCGUACGCCGUCGUUUGCCGCUACUCCGGUCCGUCCCCGGCCGCCCCGACCACGUCCCCGAGUCCACUACCCCGAGACCGCUGCCGGUACCCCUGUGAUCGCCUACAUCGACGAUGAACCCUUCUUACCAGAGCAACCAGACCCUGAGACCGCUGCCGGUACCCCUGUGAUCGCCUACAUCGACGAUGAACCCUUCUUACCAGAGCAACCAGAUGCUGGAGCCCAGGAGCUAGACGCCACCGUCGACAACGACUCCUACUACACCGGAGGUGCCUACUACUACGUGCAGGCCGCUGACGACGACCAGGAGUAGUUUAGGAGGAUCCCAGGCAGUAGGCAUGCGCCUCUUUCGAUCUGUAUCAUAGUUUGUGCUAGCCUUCUUAAGGCAAACUUGUUUAACUUAUGUCUGUACUCAGAUAUUGUUGCUUCCGCUGACUCGUCUAUGAUCGAGCACUUGUAUUUGAGCCCUCGAGGCCCCUGGCUUGUAUUAUGAUGCUUGUAUGACUUAUUUUAUUUUUAGAGUUGUGUUGUGAUA